rnacentral:rRNA from 1 species
UACACUCCUACGGGAGGCAGCAGUGGGGAAUUUUGGACAAUGGGCGAAAGCCUGAUCCAGCAAUGCCGCGUGUGUGAAGAAGGCCUUCGGGUUGUAAAGCACUUUUGUCCGGAAAGAAAUCCUUGGCUCUAAUACAGUCGGGGGAUGACGGUACCGGAAGAAUAAGCACCGGCUAACUACGUGCCAGCAGCCGCGGUAAUACGUAGGGUGCGAGCGUUAAUCGGAAUUACUGGGCGUAAAGCGUGCGCAGGCGGUUUGCUAAGACCGAUGUGAAAUCCCCGGGCUCAACCUGGGAACUGCAUUGGUGACUGGCAGGCUAGAGUAUGGCAGAGGGGGGUAGAAUUCCACGUGUAGCAGUGAAAUGCGUAGAGAUGUGGAGGAAUACCGAUGGCGAAGGCAGCCCCCUGGGCCAAUACUGACGCUCAUGCACGAAAGCGUGGGGAGCAAACAGGAUUAGAAACCCUAGUAGUCCCAUG